rnacentral:rRNA from 1 species
UCCAAAUGGGGAAACCCAGCAUGAGUUAUGUCAUGUUAUCGAUAUGUGAAUACAUAGCAUAUCAGAAGGCACACCCGGAGAACUGAAACAUCUUAGUACCCGGAGGAAGAGAAAGAAAAUUCGAUUCCCUUAGUAGCGGCGAGCGAAACGGGAAGAGCCCAAACCAACAAGCUUGCUUGUUGGGGUUGUAGGACACUCUAUACGGAGUUACAAAGGACGACAUUAGACGAAUCAUCUGGAAAGAUGAAUCAAAGAAGGUAAUAAUCCUGUAGUCGAAAAUGUUGUCUCUCUUGAGUGGAUCCUGAGUACGACGGAGCACGUGAAAUUCCGUCGGAAUCUGGGAGGACCAUCUCCUAAGGCUAAAUACUCUCUAGUGACCGAUAGUGAACCAGUACCGUGAGGGAAAGGUGAAAAGCACCCCGGAAGGGGAGUGAAAUAGAACCUGAAACCGUGUGCUUACAAGUAGUCAGAGCCCGUUAAUGGGUGAUGGCGUGCCUUUUGUAGAAUGAACCGGCGAGUUACGAUUUGAUGCAAGGUUAAGCAGUAAAUGUGGAGCCGUAGCGAAAGCGAGUCUGAAUAGGGCGUUUAGUAUUUGGUCGUAGACCCGAAACCAGGUGAUCUACCCUUGGUCAGGUUGAAGUUCAGGUAACACUGAAUGGAGGACCGAACCGACUUACGUUGAAAAGUGAGCGGAUGAACUGAGGGUAGCGGAGAAAUUCCAAUCGAACCUGGAGAUAGCUGGUUCUCUCCGAAAUAGCUUUAGGGCUAGCCUCAAGUGAUGAUUAUUGGAGGUAGAGCACUGUUUGGACGAGGGGCCCCUCUCGGGUUACCGAAUUCAGACAAACUCCGAAUGCCAAUUAAUUUAACUUGGGAGUCAGAACAUGGGUGAUAAGGUCCGUGUUCGAAAGGGAAACAGCCCAGACCACCAGCUAAGGUCCCAAAAUAUAUGUUAAGUGGAAAAGGAUGUGGCGUUGCCCAGACAACUAGGAUGUUGGCUUAGAAGCAGCCAUCAUUUAAAGAGUGCGUAAUAGCUCACUAGUCGAGUGACACUGCGCCGAAAAUGUACCGGGGCUAAACAUAUUACCGAAGCUGUGGAUUGUCCUUUGGACAAUGGUAGGAGAGCGUUCUAAGGGCGUUGAAGCAUGAUCGUAAGGACAUGUGGAGCGCUUAGAAGUGAGAAUGCCGGUGUGAGUAGCGAAAGACGGGUGAGAAUCCCGUCCACCGAUUGACUAAGGUUUCCAGAGGAAGGCUCGUCCGCUCUGGGUUAGUCGGGUCCUAAGCUGAGGCCGACAGGCGUAGGCGAUGGAUAACAGGUUGAUAUUCCUGUACCACCUAUAAUCGUUUUAAUCGAUGGGGGGACGCAGUAGGAUAGGCGAAGCGUGCGAUUGGAUUGCACGUCUAAGCAGUAAGGCUGAGUAUUAGGCAAAUCCGGUACUCGUUAAGGCUGAGCUGUGAUGGGGAGAAGACAUUGUGUCUUCGAGUCGUUGAUUUCACACUGCCGAGAAAAGCCUCUAGAUAGAAAAUAGGUGCCCGUACCGCAAACCGACACAGGUAGUCAAGAUGAGAAUUCUAAGGUGAGCGAGCGAACUCUCGUUAAGGAACUCGGCAAAAUGACCCCGUAACUUCGGGAGAAGGGGUGCUCUUUAGGGUUAACGCCCAGAAGAGCCGCAGUGAAUAGGCCCAAGCGACUGUUUAUCAAAAACACAGGUCUCUGCUAAACCGUAAGGUGAUGUAUAGGGGCUGACGCCUGCCCGGUGCUGGAAGGUUAAGAGGAGUGGUUAGCUUCUGCGAAGCUACGAAUCGAAGCCCCAGUAAACGGCGGCCGUAACUAUAACGGUCCUAAGGUAGCGAAAUUCCUUGUCGGGUAAGUUCCGACCCGCACGAAAGGCGUAACGAUUUGGGCACUGUCUCAACGAGAGACUCGGUGAAAUCAUAGUACCUGUGAAGAUGCAGGUUACCCGCGACAGGACGGAAAGACCCCGUGGAGCUUUACUGUAGCCUGAUAUUGAAAUUCGGCACAGCUUGUACAGGAUAGGUAGGAGCCUUUGAAACGUGAGCGCUAGCUUACGUGGAGGCGCUGGUGGGAUACUACCCUAGCUGUGUUGGCUUUCUAACCCGCACCACUUAUCGUGGUGGGAGACAGUGUCAGGCGGGCAGUUUGACUGGGGCGGUCGCCUCCUAAAAGGUAACGGAGGCGCUCAAAGGUUCCCUCAGAAUGGUUGGAAAUCAUUCAUAGAGUGUAAAGGCAUAAGGGAGCUUGACUGCGAGACCUACAAGUCGAGCAGGGUCGAAAGACGGACUUAGUGAUCCGGUGGUUCCGCAUGGAAGGGCCAUCGCUCAACGGAUAAAAGCUACCCCGGGGAUAACAGGCUUAUCUCCCCCAAGAGUUCACAUCGACGGGGAGGUUUGGCACCUCGAUGUCGGCUCAUCGCAUCCUGGGGCUGUAGUCGGUCCCAAGGGUUGGGCUGUUCGCCCAUUAAAGCGGUACGCGAGCUGGGUUCAGAACGUCGUGAGACAGUUCGGUCCCUAUCCGUCGC